GGCUUCUGAUAAUGGGAAGGACUGUUUGUUUAGACUGUGCAGCUCUUCACUUUAAUUUGCUCUGGCUCCAGUGUGACAUGUUAAAACUACUAUCAAUGGAAAAUCCAAAUUUCCCGGAGAGACUUAAAAGAGCAACCUCAGUGAACUGAAAUUAUCUCCUCUUAAAGCUAAUUACCUAAGUAUAUUUAGGAAAGUAGUGCUAUAGGAAAUCUGCUUCUUUAGACUCUUUUCUGUUUCAUUAAGUGCCUCAGGUCAAUAUGAAUAAUUAUUGUUUGCUUUUAUUGCACCUUUUUCAUUAUUCAUUUACAUGCCCAUGAAAGGACAUAAAACUAAAGUAAUCCAACAAAUUAGGAGUAAUUUUUUGAGACAGUCAUUCAUAAUUAAAAAACAAACACAAAAUAUUUUCACCUUUCAGUUUAUUUUAUUAAAAAGAAAAUACCGUGAGGUUUCCAUUUAAUAGGAAGCUUUAAAGCAUUAAUGAGUCUCUCAGGGCAGUUAUGGCAAGUAAAUAUGGAAAGCUUCCAAGAUUAAACACAUUCUACCAUAUUCUGUUACCUAGGGGCUAGAUUUAAGAAAAAUACGCAUAUGCUUGUUCAUGGAAGAAACACGUGUUUCUGUAUCCUGUGCCAUCUUCUUUCAAUACUGUUCACCUAAUACCAUUAACAGGUAGGAUAGGGUAGCAGUUUUUCCUGUUUCCCAGGGGGCUUAGGGUAAAUUCCAUAUUUUGGCUGCCUGAAAUGUACUUUGUGCAAUUAUUUUAAAGUCCCACAUCCCAGGGAUUUUAUGACCUCCUAGAAGUAGCAUUUCAUAAUGGCUGACCAGGGGGACAAAUCAAGAAGUUGUAUUAUUCUGAAGCCAGCAGUCUUGACUACAGUCCAUUAUCUGGGCAGUAUGCUACCAAAUACCUGGCAUAAAGAUUUGCAGCUCAGGCGUACCUGUGCUGAAGACCUUAAUAACUUUG
rnacentral:lncRNA from 1 species